CGGUACUUGUCUAUCCCAAAUUCAUGUAUUUGGUUUUGAUGUUAUAUUUGUUAUUCUCUUGGGAUUUUGUCUGAUGCUUGGUCCGUUUCUGUGUCAGUUAUUUACUUUGUAGUGUUGUGUCGUUGUUCUCCUCUUAUAUUUAUGCGUUUCCCUCAGUUUUAGUUUGUUACCCCGAUUUUGUUUUUUGUCCAUGGAUUUAUG
rnacentral:lncRNA from 1 species